UACAGAGGUCCCGAGCGUUGUUCGGAUUCACUGGGCAUAAAGGGUGCGUAGGUGGUGAGGUAAGUCGGAUGUGAAAUCUCCGGGCUCAACCCGGAAAUGGCAUUGGAAACUACCUUGCUGGAGGAUUUGAGGGGGGAUUGGAAUACUUGGUGUAGCAGUGAAAUGCGUAGAUAUCAAGUGGAACACCAGUGGCGAAGGCGAAUCCCUGGAAAAUACCUGACACUGAGGCACGAAAGCUAGGGGAGCAAACAGG
rnacentral:rRNA from 1 species